rnacentral:rRNA from 1 species
UCUUUUUCCACCGGAGCUUGCUCCACCGGAAAAAGANGAGUGGAGAACGGGUGAGUAACACGUGGGUAACCUGCCCAUCAGAAGGGGAUAACACUUGGAAACAGGUGCUAAUACCGUAUAACAAUCNAAACCGCAUGGUUUUGAUUUGAAAGGCGCUUUCGGGUGUCGCUGAUGGAUGGACCCGCGGUGCAUUAGCUAGUUGGUGAGGUAACGGCUCACCAAGGCCACGAUGCAUAGCCGACCUGAGAGGGUGAUCGGCCACAUUGGGACUGAGACACGGCCCAAACUCCUACGGGAGGCAGCAGUAGGGAAUCUUCGGCAAUGGACGAAAGUCUGACCGAGCAACGCCGCGUGAGUGAAGAAGGUUUUCGGAUCGUAAAACUCUGUUGUUAGAGAAGAACAAGGAUGAGAGUAACUGUUCAUCCCUUGACGGUAUCUAACCAGAAAGCCACGGCUAACUACGUGCCAGCAGCCGCGGUAAUACGUAGGUGGCAAGCGUUGUCCGGAUUUAUUGGGCGUAAAGCGAGCGCAGGCGGUUUCUUAAGUCUGAUGUGAAAGCCCCCGGCUCAACCGGGGAGGGUCAUUGGAAACUGGGAGACUUGAGUGCAGAAGAGGAGAGUGGAAUUCCAUGUGUAGCGGUGAAAUGCGUAGAUAUAUGGAGGAACACCAGUGGCGAAGGCGGCUCUCUGGUCUGUAACUGACGCUGAGGCUCGAAAGCGUGGGGAGCAAACAGGAUUAGAUACCCUGGUAGUCCACGCCGUAAACGAUGAGUGCUAAGUGUUGGAGGGUUUCCGCCCUUCAGUGCUGCAGCUAACGCAUUAAGCACUCCGCCUGGGG